CACCAAAAUUUCUCUCCCUUAGUCUCCCCCUUUUCCCAGACUCGCUUUCUUCAUCUUUUUCCCAAAAAAAUAUAUCUAUCUCCCUCCCUCCCUCUCAAAAUCGCUCAUUAAAGUCGGGUUCAAUCUGAAGCUUCAAAUGUACAGGUUCAAUCUCGAUUAGGGUUCUAAACUUCAGUUGGAUCUCGAUUGGGCUUCGAUUAGGGUUCAAUUUGAAGCUUCGAAUUUACAGGUAUCUCUCUCCCUCACUUACUCUAUAUAUAUUUGUGUAUGUAUAUGUUUUUAAACUAGUUCCAUUUUGAUUUGGUUGUAAUGAGGCCAAGAGCGGAGUGAGCGGAGUAGGAGUAGCCUCGAUGGGGUGAUGAGGCCAGAUCUGGGAUUAUGGUGUGGAAUUUGUGCUUCUUAUUACACUGGAUGGCACUACGGAAGAUGCUCUGAGGAUAUUCACCAUGUUAUCUUUUGUCGAUUCCCUCUUUUCACAUACCUUCAAGUGUGUAAUCACUCUGGAAAUCCUGCUUUCGUGUACCUUGCUUGCUGUCACAGGCUGAAAAUUAAUGUUGCCUACUUCAGCCUCGGAGGUUCUGUUGAUAGAAUCUUUUGAUGGUUGGACCACUCAGGGUACAACGAUAUUAAGUCACUACAGGAGAGCUCUGGUGCAUCCAUUCGGGUUCUUUCAAAUGAGAGGGGGAUUUCUCCAAGGACAGUAAAAGACUUGAAGGUAAAUAGUGGUGGCAGAAUUUUAGAGAACAUUUGAUGGCUGUACUUCUCAAGGUAGAGGAGAUCAAGAAUGGAAGACUUGCAGCAAUGUUUGUGAUGCUCGGAUUAUUUAUGUUUUGUUAAGUGUUGGCAUUUAGUAGUAGGGAUGUAUAUUUUGGAUGUUGAUAUUGGAAUAUAAGGAAAUCUCUAUAUUCAAACCGUACCUUUCAAUUUGAUAAUUUAAAAAUUAUUGAUGUA